AUUGAAACACUGGUUCCCAUUAUGAUCACCGAAAUUAAGCAAUGUUGACCCUGAUCAUUUCCUGGAUGGGUGACCGCUUGGGGGUAUCAGAUGCUGUAA